UUGGAGGGCAAGUCUGGUGCCAGCAGCCGCGGUAAUUCCAGCUCCAAUAGCGUAUAUUAAAGUUGUUGCAGUUAAAAAGCUCGUAGUUGAAUUUCGGGAUUGACACAUCGGUCGUGCCUUAAGGGGUAUGAACUGGUGUAGUCAGUUUCUCACCUUCUGGAGAACCGCGAUGUCCUUAAUUGGGUGCCGCGAGGAACCAGGACCUUUACUUUGAAAAAAUUAGAGUGUUUAAAGCAGGCAUUUUGCUUGAAUACAUUAGCAUGGGAUAAUAAAAUAGGACGGAUGGUUCUAUUUUGUUGGUUUCUAGGAUCACCGUAAUGAUUAAUAGGGAUAGUUGGGGGCAUUAGUAUUCAAUUGUCAGAGGUGAAAUUCUUGGAUUUAUUGAAGACUAACUACUGCGAAAGCAUUUGCCAAGGAUGUUUUCAUUAAUCAAGAACGAAAGUUAGGGGAUCGAAGACGAUCAGAUACCGUCGUAGUCUUAACCAUAAACUAUGCCGACUAGGAAUCAGACGGUGUUAAUUUUUUAAUGACUCGUUUGGCACCUUACGGGAAACCAAAGUGUUUGGGUUC
rnacentral:rRNA from 1 species